AACACGUGAGCAACCUGCCCCAAGCUUUGGGAUAACCCUCGGAAACGGGGGCUAAUACCGAAUAUUACUGCUGGCCGCAUGGCUGGUGGUGGAAAGUUUUUCGGCUUGGGAUGGGCUCGCGGCCUAUCAGCUUGUUGGUGGGGUGAUGGCCUACCAAGGCGACGACGGGUAGCCGGCCUGAGAGGGCGACCGGCCACACUGGGACUGAGACACGGCCCAGACUCCUACGGGAGGCAGCAGUGGGGAAUAUUGCACAAUGGGCGGAAGCCUGAUGCAGCGACGCCGCGUGAGGGAUGACGGCCUUCGGGUUGUAAACCUCUUUCAGCAGGGACGAAGCGAGAGUGACGGUACCUGCAGAAGAAGCACCGGCCAACUACGUGCCAGCAGCCGCGGUAAGACGUAGGGUGCGAGCGUUGUCCGGAUUUAUUGGGCGUAAAGAGCUCGUAGGCGGCUUGUCGCGUCGACCGUGAAAACUUGGGGCUCAACCCCAAGCCUGCGGUCGAUACGGGCAGGCUAGAGUUCGGUAGGGGAGACUGGAAUUCCUGGUGUAGCGGUGAAAUGCGCAGAUAUCAGGAGGAACACCGGUGGCGAAGGCGGGUCUCUGGGCCGAUACUGACGCUGAGGAGCGAAAGCGUGGGGAG
rnacentral:rRNA from 1 species